rnacentral:lncRNA from 1 species
AGUAGCAAACAAUUUAUUUGGAUUCACACAGGGAAGGAGAGGUAGGGGUGUCAGGCAAGGAAAGUGGGGAGUAGGAAACCCUAAUACUUGUGUCCUCUGGAAGACUGCCUCCCCCAAGUUCUUGGGGUUCAAGACUAUUCCUCAGGCUUUUAAUUCAGGAGUCCAGGAACAGGUCAGGGAGAGAGAAAAUUUCAGGGAAAGAUCUGGAUGGCUCUGGCCAGAGUGAGUCCAAAUACAAAACCCCCUUGAGAAUUCAGGUAGCUAUUCUUUAAGAGUCUUAGUGGAGGCAUUUUUGAGUCCCAGAAGGAAUAACAGGUCCCAAAUGGAUAGGCUCUUUCUCAGCUUCCAGGAAAAACACCUUCCUACUUCCCUCCUAGGCUGAAAGACCAUUGACAGUUGGAGCUUCAGAGUUCUAAUUCCUUUAGAACUCCCCGGCUUCUCUCUCUGCCCUCCUCUGCUGCUCCUCAGCUGAUCUAUCUUUCAGCCUGGCUUGUCAUUGGAACCCCUUGGAUCUCUCUUUCUUACAUUUCAAUGGAAAUCACCAUCUGCUUCAGGAAGUGGAAUCGAAGGUUGAAGAGCUGACAAUAUCAUAUGUUUGGAGAUCCUUUAUUUGCAGCAGUACACAUAAGAAAGGAAAGAGUGAUGGGAAGGCAAGAGAAGGGAAGGGAAAAAGAAGGGAAGAGAAAGGAAGGCCUCAGCUCUUACUGGAUUUAAGUUCAGAAGAAAGGUUGGCUUAAGACUGUGGAGAGCCUUGAAUAUAAACCCAAGAUAUUUUUAACUGUAUGCUAUGGACAACAGGAUGCUAUUUAAGAAAAUUAAAUUGAGAGAGAAAAUACUUAGUACCUAUCUGCCUCCAAUUUGUAUUUCUUCCUUCUUUUUAAAAUUCACCUUCAAUAAACAUAUAUUAAGUAUCUACCCA